UACGGGGGGGGCAAGCGUUGUUCGGAAUUACUGGGCGUAAAGGGCUCGUAGGUGGCCAACUAAGUCAGACGUGAAAUCCCCAGGCUUAACCUGGGAACUGCGUCUGAUACUGGAUGGCUUGAAUUCGGGAGAGGGAUGCAGAAUUCCAGGUGUAGCGGUGAAAUGCGUAGAUAUCUGGAGGAACACCGGUGGCGAAGGCGGCAUCCUGGACCGACACUGACACUGAGGAGCGAAAGCCAGGGGAGCAAACGGG
rnacentral:rRNA from 1 species